ensembl:lncRNA
AUGGAGCCAGGAGAAGCAGCGGCAGGAGAACAAAGGGCAACUCUACAAUCACCACUAAAAAUAACAAUAGCACUGACAGUUGUAACAAUUGUAGUAGUUGUAGGUAAUACAGUAACAUCAACAAUAGCUGCUGUAGCAGUAGGAGCAGCAGCAGGGGCAGCAGCUGGAAUUGGCAUUUUACAAUCACUAUGGGAGGCAAAAAUAAGAACAGUAGCAGUAGCAGUAACAGCAGCAGCAGGAUGCUUUGCAGGAACAACAGCAGCAAUAUUGCAAUCAUUGUUAGGAGCACAGUCACUAACAGGAUCAUCAGUAACUGGAGCAAUGGCAGGAGCUGCAAUAGUAACAGUAGCAAGAACACAAUUACAGUGGGCAAUAGAAACAAUACAGUGGGUAAUAGAAACAAUACAGUGGGCAAUAGAAACCAUUCAAUGGGUGGUAAACCUAGUGCAAAAAUUAAAAGCAUCAUUACCUGCAGCAACAGUAACUGGAGGAUCAGGAUUAGCAGCAGCCGUAUUAUAUCAAGCAUUGCAAGAAGAAGCAGUAGAAGCAUCAUCUGGACCAGGAGCAUUUAGACCAGCAUCAUCUGGAUCAGAAGUAUCUCGGCCAGCAGUAUCAGGUCCACCAUCAUCUGGACCAGUACCUUCAGGACCAGGAGCAUCUGGAGCAGCAGCAUCAGGUCCACCAUCAUCUGGAACAGGAGCAUCUAGAUCAGGAUCUGGAGCACCAGUAUCAGGUUCAGCAUCAUCUGGACCAGGACCUUCAGGACCAGGAGCAUCUGGAGCAGCAGUAUCAGGCCCACCAUCAUCUAAAUCAGGACCUUCAGGACCAGGAGCAUCUGGAGCAGCAGUAUCAGGUCCACCAUCAUCUGGACCAGUACCUUCAGGAUCAGGAGCAUCUGGAGCAGCAGCAUCAGGUCCACCAUCAUCUGGAACAGGAGCAUCUAGAUCAGGAUCUGGAGCACCAGUAUCAGGUUCAGCAUCAUCUGGACCAGGACCUUCAGCACCAGGAGCAUCUGGAGCAGCAGUAUCAGGCGCACCAUCAUCUAAACCAGGACCUUCAGUACCAGGAGCAUCUGGAGCAGCAGUAUCAGGUCCAUCAUCCUCUGGAACAGGACCUUCAGGACCAGGAGCAUCUGGACCAGCAGUGUCAGGUCCAGCACCAUCUGGAACAGGACCUUCAGGAUCAGGAGCAUCUGGAGCAGCAGCAUCAGGUCCACCAUCAUCUGGAACAGGCGCAUCUAGAUCAGGAUCUGGAGCACCAGUAGCAGGUUCAGCAUCAUCUGGACCAGGACCUCCAGGACCAGGAGCAUCUGGAGCAGCAGUAGCAGGUCCAUCAUCAUCUGGAACAGGACCUUCAGGAUCAGCAGCAUCUGGUGCAGCAGUAUCAGAUACAGCAUCAUCUGGACCAGGACCUUCAGGAGCAUCUGGAGCAGCAGUAUCAGAUACAGUAUCAUCUGGACCAGGACCUUCAGGAUCAGGAGCAUCUGGAUCAGCAGUGUCAGGUCCACCAUCAUCUGGACCAGGACCUUCAGGGCCAGGAGCAUCUGGAUCAGGACCUUCAGGCCCGGGACCAUCUGGACCAGCAGAAUCGGGUCCAGCAGCAUCUGGAGCAACGGGAACAGGAUCAGCAGCAUCAGGACCAGGAGCACCGGGUACAGCAGCAUCUGAAGCAACAGGAUCAGCAGCUUCUGGAGCAGCAGCACUGGCAGCAGCAGCAGGAUCAGCAGGUGCGGGAGUAGCAGCAGGAGUAAUGGGAGGAAUACUGGGAGGACUUUUGGCAGGAGCAGGAGCAGAAAAUAAUGGAUCAAAACAGAAAAGCCCAUCAAAGGCACAAUCAGCAGUGAAGGUAAGACAGCAGAUUGGUGUGACAGCUUGUGCAAUUUAAGUGUGUGCUUUUAAUGUGACCCUGUUUCAUAAUACACUGAACAAAAUUAUAAACGCAACACUUUUGUUUUUGCCCCCAUUUUUCAUGAGCUGAACUCAAAGAUCUAAGACUUUUUCUAUGUACAAAAAAGGCAUAUUUCUCUCAAAUAUUGUUCACAAAUCUAUCUAAAUCUGUGUUAGUGAGCACUUCUCCUUUGCCGAGAUAGUCCAUCCACCUCACAAGUGUGGCAUAUCAAGAUGCUGAUUAGACAGCAUGAUUAAUGCACAGGUUUGCUUUAGGCUGGCCACAAUAAAAGGCCACUCUAAAAUGUGGAGUUUUACUGU